UGGGGAAUAUUGCACAAUGGGCGCAAGCCUGAUGCAGCCAUGCCGCGUGUAUGAAGAAGGCCUUCGGGUUGUAAAGUACUUUCAGCGGGGAGGAAGGGAGUAAAGUUAAUACCUUUGCUCAUUGACGUUACCCGCAGAAGAAGCACCGGCUAACUCCGUGCCAGCAGCCGCGGUAAUACGGAGGGUGCAAGCGUUAAUCGGAAUUACUGGGCGUAAAGCGCACGCAGGCGGUUUGUUAAGUCAGAUGUGAAAUCCCCGGGCUCAACCUGGGAACUGCAUCUGAUACUGGCAAGCUUGAGUCUCGUAGAGGGGGGUAGAAUUCCAGGUGUAGCGGUGAAAUGCGUAGAUAUAUGGAGGAACACCAGUGGCGAAGGCGGCUCUCUGGUCUGUAACUGACGCUGAGGCUCGAAAGCGUGGGGAGCAAACAGG
rnacentral:rRNA from 1 species